rnacentral:lncRNA from 1 species
UGGCAUUAUUUUGCAAUUUCAUUUAAAACAUAAACAGAAAUCAAAUUUCUUUAGGGAUGGCAAGACUUUGUGGCUCUUAUUUUGCCCUCAUUUUAUUUGCUCUUUUAGGUAUGUGCUAUAUAUAUAUAUAUAUAUAUAUAUAUAUAUAUAUAUGUUCAAACUUUUCUUAUCCGAGUGUUCUAUGAAAUAGAUUUCUUUAUUGACCCAAAAAAAGUUAUAUAUAUUGUAUUAAAGAAAUAAUUACAUUAGACAGGAUGCUCGAUUACAGUUCGAUUAAUGUUUCAAGCUAAUAUCAAGAAGUCUAUGUCGGACGUCGACAAUUCGAUUCAAAUUUAUGUGGAUUGGACUUCUUUGAUAAGUUUUCUUUUUCAUAUUUUAAUAUUCUGCAAAAGUUAUUGUAACUAAUUUUUCUCCAAUGGAAAAUAUAAAUGGUCAAGAAUCAAAACAUUUCAGUGGUUAAACGGUGAAAAUAAAAUGGUCGAUUUUGAGAAAACGACUGAUUUUGGGGUUGAACCAGUGGAUGUCGAGGUUAUUUUGAUAAGUUGUAAUUUCCGAUGUUUUUACUCAUAAUUAGAUUCAACCAACCGAUCUGGUCUUGUUCAUUUAAUAUUGUUACAGGACACGUUAAUGAGUGUUUUAAUUAAAAAAGUAAAUAUCAAAUACCUAAAAAUUAAGUAAAAAAAUAAAUGAAAAAUCUCUUAAUCUACUUAUUGAUGUGAUUAUUUAAAGCAAAAUAUGAUCAUUGUAAUCUAUAUUUUUAUUUUUUAUAUUGUUUUAUUUUAUUUUAUUUGUUACAGUUACCAAAUUGACAUCUCAAGUGGACGGUCUCGCUGAUGCUCGUGCUUAUGCUCCGCAGUCCCAAUGCAAGCUUUCGUUAAUUGAUCACGCAUGUGAGCGUAAAACUUGUGGAUCGCAGUGCCUUGAAAAUUACAAAGGAAUAGGAAACUGCAUUUAUGUUGGCUUUGGAGAAAUGUGCUUUUGUUUUUACGAUUGUCAUUAGCCAAUGGAUUUUAUAUUAGUAAUUUGGUUUAAUCCAACCAAAUUGACAUUGUUCGAAUUAUCAAUUAUAUAUUAAUUCUUGAUUUUAUGAAAUCAAUUUUUCAGUAGUAAGAUUGCAUAUCUACUAUGAGUCCUGUUUGAUUCUCAUUUUUU